UCCCUGGAAGACUAGUGGUUAGACCACGGCACCCUCACUGCUGUGGCUUGGGUUCGAUUCCCAGCCAGGGAA